rnacentral:tRNA from 2 species
GCCAUUGUAGCUCAGCGGUAGAGCGCUUCCUUGGUAAGGAAGGGGUCACGAGUUCAAUUCUCGUCAAUGGCU